GGGACCUAAGGCGAGGCCGAGAGGCGUAGUCGAUGGACAACAGGUAGAGAUUCCUGUACUUACGGUAUGAAUGAUGGAGUGACGGAGAAGGCUAGCGGAUCCUGCUGAUGGAAAUGCAGGUGCAAGCGAGGUAGCCGACAGCCAGGCAAAUCCGGCUGUCGAAAGGCAAAGGCGUGAGGCGUAUGGAAAGCUGCGGCAAGUACAGAAGUCCGUGAAGCCAGCUUCCAAGAAAAGCUUCUAGUGAUAAUCAUACAGUAACCCGUACCGAAAAUGGACACACAUGGGUGAGGAGAGAAUCCUAAGGUGAGCGAGAGAACUAUAGCUAAGGAACUCUGCAAAAUGACUCCGUAACUUAGGGAUAAGGAGUGCUCAUAGAGAUAUGAGCCGCAGUGAAACGGCCCAAGCGACUGUUUACCAAAAACACAGCUCUAUGCUAAGUCGAAAGACGACGUAUAUGGGGUGACGCCUGCCCGGUGCUGGAAGGUUAAGAGGAUGUGUCAGCGCAAGCGAAGCAUUGAAUUGAAGCCCCAGUAAACGGCGGCCGUAACUAUAACGGUCCUAAGGUAGCGAAAUUCCUUGUCAGGUAAGUUCUGACCCGCACGAAAGGCGUAACGAUUUGGGCGCUGUCUCAGCUGUAGACUCGGUGAAGUCUUAGUACCUGUGAAGAUGCAGGUUACCCGCGACUAGACGGAAAGACCCCAUGGAGCUUUACUGUAGCCUGAUAUUGGACUUUGAUGCAGGAUGUACAGGAUAGGUAGGAGACUGAGAGACAUGCACGCCAGUGUGUGAGGAGUCGAUGUUGGGAUACUACUCUUCCUGUAUUGGAGUUCUAACCGGAUGCCAUAAGCUGGUAACGGGACAGUGUCAGGUGGGCAGUUUGACUGGGGCGGUCGCCUCCCAAAGAGUAACGGAGGCGCCCAAAGAUACCCUCAGCUUGGAUGGAAAUCAAGCGUAGAGUGCAAAGGCAAAAGGGUGUUUGACUGCGAGACCAACAAGUCGAGCAGGGACGAAAGUCGGGCUUAGUGAUCCGGCGGUGCUGAAUGGAAAGGCCGUCGCUCAACGGAUAAAAGCUACCCUGGGGAUAACAGGCUGAUCUCCCCCAAGAGUUCACAUCGACGGGGAGGUUUGGCACCUCGAUGUCGGCUCAUCGCAUCCUGGAGCUGAAGUCGGUUCCAAGGGUUGGGCUGUUCGCCCAUUAAAGCGGUACGCGAGCUGGGUUCAGAACGUCGUGAGACAGUUCGGUCCCUAUCUGUCGUGGGCGUAGGAAGUUUGAGAAGAUCUGUCCUCAGUACGAGAGGACCGGGAUGGACAUAUCAAUGGUGCACCAGUUGUCACGCCAGUGGCACAGCUGGGUAGCUAAAUAUGGAAGGGAUAAACGCUGAAGGCAUCUAAGUGUGAAACCCACUUCAAGAUGAGACUUCCCAUUACGAAAGUAGGUAAGACCCCUUAAAGACGAUAAGGUUGAUAGGUCAGGAGUGUAAGCAUGGUGACAUGUUCAGCGGACUGAUACUAAUAGGUCGAGGACUUAACCU
rnacentral:rRNA from 1 species